UACGGGGGGGGCAAGCGUUGUUCGGAAUUACUGGGCGUAAAGGGCGCGUAGGCGGCCCUCCUUGUCGCGUGUGAAAGCCCCGGGCUCAACCUGGGAACGGCGCGCGAGACGGGGGGGCUGGAGUUCGGGAGAGGAGCGUGGAAUUCCCAGUGUAGAGGUGAAAUUCGUAGAUAUUCGGAAGAACACCAGUGGCGAAGGCGGCUCACUGGCCCGGUACUGACGCUGAGGUGCGAAAGCGUGGGGAGCAAACAGG
rnacentral:rRNA from 1 species